UUGUUGACCAACAUAAAAAAUCACAUGAAAUUGGCUAAAAGUAUUUUUUUACUUUUAAAGAAUCAUCAAUAUGUAUCAUGUUUGAAAGACUCUGCAAAGAUAUUCUACAAACGUAUAAUCUUGCUUCUAUAAAUCAUCGCUGAAUUACAGUAAAUUAUUUCCUCUGAGAGAGAAAGCAUUUCUUUACUUCUGUGUCUGAAAUGUGCAAGAGAUAAUUUUCUCUUUUAAAUGUACUUUGAUGGAUUUACAAAAGUAUUUGCAGCAUUUCUAAAUAUUAAGAUCACAUUUAAAAGAAAAGUGAUAUUUGUUUGGAAUAAUCUAUAAAAGCAAAAAGAAGAAAAAUAUAUUUUGGUGAGAGAAGAAAUAUUCCUAUAAAGUUGUUGAUCUGUACAACUUGAAGGAUCGAUUUUAUUUUUCUUGGAGAGAUGUCGGAAGAAUUAAGAAAAUCAUCAUAUGACUGUGACAUCUGCAAAGAGUCAUUCUUAGAAGAAAGUAAAUUCAGUCAACACAAACAAAUUCAUGAAGGGGAAGCACCAUACCAAUGUGAUAUCUGUUGUAAAUCAUUCAGUCGAAGAGGUAGCUUAGCUACUCACAAACAGCUUCAUAUAGGGAAGAAACCCUAUCAGUGUGAUAUCUGUGCUAAAUCAUUCGCCGAUGGCAGUAACUUCAUUCGACACAAACAUAUUCAUAUGGGGGAGAAACCAUAUCACUGUACUAUCUGUGGUAAAUCAUUCUCUAAUGACAGUCACUUAACUCGACAUAUACGUAUCGAUACAGGAGAGAGACCUUAUCCCUGUGAUAUCUGUGGUGAAUCGUUCUCUGUUGGCAGUAGCUUAACUCGUCAUAAACGUAUCCAUACAGGAGAGAAACCAUAUCACUGUGAUUUAUGUGGUAAAUCUUUCUCUGAAAACGAUAGCUUAACUCAACACAAACGUAUUCAUACAGGGGAGAAACCCUAUCAAUGUGGUGUCUGUGGUGAAUCAUUCUAUCACAGAGGUAACUUUACUACUCACUCAAGGGUUCAUACAGGGGAGAAGCCAUAUCACUGUGACAUCUGUGAUAAAUCAUUCUCUGUUAGUAGUUGCCUAACUAGACACAAGCGUGUUCAUGCAGUGGAGAAAACCUCCCCGUGAUAUCAAUGGCAAAUUAGUCUAUCAAAGAAGUAACGUAACUACUUACAAAAGGGUUCAUACAGAGGAGAAACGAAAUCAUUGUGAUAUCUGUGACAAAUCAUUCUCCGAAAACAGUGGCUUAACUCAACACAAACAUAUUCAUACCGUGAGGAAACCAUAUCUGUGGUACAUCAUUCUCUUGUACUUACUGCUUAGAUAUUCAGAAAUAUAUCCAUACAGGAGACAAGGAAUACCACUGUGCCAUGUAUGGUAAAUCAUUCUCUUAGUAGUUGCCUAACUAAACAAAAGCGUAUUCAUACACUGGAGAAACCAUACUGUCGUAUCUGUGGUAAAUCAUCAUCCUUUAAAAUUCAGUUAUUCAUGCUUCUGUCUAUCACACGGACUUCAUUGAUGGAGAUUCUCUUCACCCGGGCACCUUUCCUGUUGCCAAUCCCCAUAUGUUUCCAAGCAAGGAAACGUUUUCCAUGGUAAGACAUGUUCGACACAGAAGACUGGAAAUGACCAUCUGCAUUUGUAUGACGGUCAUUUACAAACACCACAUCUGGACAAGGGUACACACACACAUAUGCAUGUCUGGAGAAUUUCUUAUAGGAAAUAUUUUACAUUUUUAAUCUACAUCUAAAUGUUUGUAAUUCCUUGUAGGAAAUGAAACACAUGUAAUGCUGAAUAAAUGAUAUCAAACUUUUAUCUGGUUUCCUUAUGUGAUAUUUAAUUACUCUGCAAAAAAUAACCAAACCUAAUGCAAAAAUAAUAUGUGUAUAUAUCCUCGUUUUUUUCUGUGUUCCUUUCUGUAGAAGAGCGUAGGCUCGAAAUGUAAAAGACUUUUUCAAUUCCUGAGCGUUAU